GUGAGGAAUAUUGCACAAUGGGCGAAAGCCUGAUGCAGCGACGCCGCGUGGAUGAUGAAGGCCUUCGGGUCGUAAAAUCCUUUUCUGUGUGACGAGAACGGACGGUAGCACAGGAAUAAGUCUCGGCUAACUACGUGCCAGCAGCCGCGGUAAAACGUAGGAGACAAACGUUAUCCGGAGUUACUGGGCGUAAAGGGCGUGCAGGCGGUUAUCUAAGUCUGGUGUGAAAUCUGUCGGCUUAACCGGGAGAGGUCAUUGGAAACUGGAUAACUCGAGGACGGUAGAGGCGUGUGGAAUUCCGGGUGUAGUGGUGAAAUGCGUAGAUAUCCGGAGGAACACCAGUGGCGAAGGCGACACGCUGGGCCGUACCUGACGCUAAGACGCGACAGCAUGGGGAGCGAACGGGAUUAGAAACCCUAGUAGUCC
rnacentral:rRNA from 1 species